AGAGACACUUGGGAACCUUUGUGAUGUCACACAGAGAAGUCACAGCGCAGCACCUGAGGGGUCUAU
rfam:Ictidomys tridecemlineatus contig029909, whole genome shotgun sequence.